CCUACGGGAGGCAGCAGUGGGGGAUAUUGCACAAUGGGGGAAACCCUGAUGCAGCGACGCCGCGUGGGUGAAGAAGCGCCUCGGCGCGUAAAGCCCUGUCAGCAGGGAAGAAAAUGACGGUACCUGAAGAAGAAGCCCCGGCUAACUACGUGCCAGCAGCCGCGGUAAUACGUAGGGGGCAAGCGUUAACCGGAUUUACUGGGUGUAAGGGGGGCGCAGACGGCGAUGCAAGCCAGGAGUGAAAGCCCGGGGCCACACCCCGGGACUGCUCUUGGAACUGCUUGGCUGGAGUGCAGGAGGGGCAGGCGGAAUUCCUGGUGUAGCGGUGAAAUGCGUAGAUAUCAGGAGGAACACCGGUGGCGAAGGCGGCCUGCUGGACUGCAACUGACGUUGAGGCCCGAAAGCGUGGGGAGCAAACAGGAUUAGAUACCCCAGUAGUC
rnacentral:rRNA from 1 species